AACGCUGCGGCAUGCCUAACACAUGCAAGUCGAACGCCGCGGCCGCCUUCGGGCGGCAUGUGGAGUGGCGGACGGGUGAGUAACGCGUAGGAACCUGCCCGGAAGUGGGGGACAACCGCUGGAAACGGCGGCUAAUACCGCAUACGCCCCAAGGGGGAAAGGCUUCGGCCGCUUUCGGAGGGUCCUGCGUUCGAUUAGCUAGUCGGUGAGGUGACGGCUCACCGAGGCGACGAUCGAUAGCUGGUCUGAGAGGAUGAUCAGCCACACUGGGACUGAGACACGGCCCAGACUCCUACGGGAGACAGCAGAGGGGAAUAUUGGACAAUGGGCGAAAGCCUGAUCCAGCAAUGCCGCGUGUGUGACGAAGGCCCUAGGGUUGUAAAGCACUUUCACUCGCGAGGAUGAUGACGGUAGCGGGAGAAGAAGCCCCGGCUAACUCCGUGCCAGCAGCCGCGGUAAUACGGAGGGGGCGAGCGUUGUUCGGAAUUACUGGGCGUAAAGGGCGUGUAGGCGGCCUUGUCAGUCAGGCGUGAAAUCCCCGGGCUCAACCUGGGACGUGCGCUUGAUACU
rnacentral:rRNA from 1 species